rnacentral:rRNA from 1 species
GGCGGACGGGUGAGUAAUGCAUAGGAUCUGCCCGAUAGUGGGGGAUAACCUGGGGAAACCCAGGCUAAUACCGCAUAAGUCCUACGGGAGAAAGGGGGCUCCGGCUCCCGCUAUCGGAUGAGCCUAUGUCGGAUUAGCUGGUUGGUGAGGUAAAGGCUCACCAAGGCGACGAUCCGUAGCUGGUCUGAGAGGAUGAUCAGCCACAUCGGGACUGAGACACGGCCCGAACUCCUACGGGAGGCAGCAGUGGGGAAUAUUGGACAAUGGGGGGAACCCUGAUCCAACCAUGCCGCGUGUGUGAAGAAGGCCCUCGGGUUGUAAAGCACUUUCAGUGAGGAAGAACGCCUGGUGGUUAAUACCCAUCAGGAAAGACAUCACU